rnacentral:rRNA from 1 species
UAAUGCAUGCAAGUCGAGCGAUGAGGUCUCCUUCGGGGGACACAUCAGCGGCAGACGGGUGAGUAACACGUAAGUAACCUACCCCAGAGACAGGGAUAACCCUAGGAAACGAGGGCUAAUACCGGAUGACCUCCGGAAGGAGGAAAGGCUGAGGCGCUCUGGGAGGGGCUUGCGGCCCAUCAGCUAGUUGGUAGGGUAACGGCCUACCAAGGCGAAGACGGGUAGGGGGUGUGAGAGCACGGUCCCCCACAAUGGGACUGAAACACGGCCCAUACUCCUACGGGAGGCAGCAGCAGGGAAUAUUGCACAAUAGGCGGAAGUCUGAUGCAGCGACGCCGCGUGAGUGAAGAAGGCCUUCGGGUCGUAAAGCUCUUUUGUAGGGGAAGAGGAAGGACGGUACCCUAAGAAGAAGCGUCGGCUAACUACGUGCCAGCAGCCGCGGUAAGACGUAGGACGCGAGCGUUAUCCGGAAUUACUGGGCGUAAAGGGCCAGCAGGCGGCUUGGUAAGUUGUGCGUGAAAGCCUCGUGCUCAACGCGAGGAAGCCGGACAAUACUGUCAAGCUAGAGGGCAUCAGAGGGGAGUGGAAUUCCCGGAGUAGCGGUAAAAUGCGCAGAUAUCGGGAGGAACACCGAUGGUGAAGGCAGCUCCCUGGGAUGCACCUGACGCUAAGAGGCGAAAGCUAGGGGAGCGAACAGGAUUAGAGACCCUGGUAGUCCUAGCUGUAAACGCUGGGUGCUAGGUGUGGGACGUAGAAGUUCCGUGCCGGAGCAAACGCGAUAAGCACCCCGCCUGGGAAUUACGGUCGCAAGGCUAAAACUCAAACGAAUUGACGGGGCCCCGCACAAGCAGCGGAGCGUGUGGUUCAAUUCGAUGCUACACGAAGAACCUUACCUGGGUUUGACAUGUACGUGGUACGAGGGCGAAAGCCUAAGGACCCUUCGGGGAGCGUACACAGGUGCUGCAUGGCUGUCGUCAGCUCGUGCCGUGAGGUGUCGGGUUAAGUCCCGUAACGAGCGCAACCCUUGCCCUUAGUUACAAGUGUCUAAGGGGACUGCCGGCGGGAAGCCGGAGGAAGGUGGGGAUGACGUCAAGUCAGCAUGGCCCUUAUGUCCAGGGC